GAUGAACGCUGGCGGCGUGCCUAAUACAUGCAAGUCGAGCGAACGGACGAGAAGCUUGCUUCUCUGAUGUUAGCGGCGGACGGGUGAGUAACACGUGGAUAACCUACCUAUAAGACUGGGAUAACUUCGGGAAACCGGAGCUAAUACCGGAUGAUAUUUUGAACCGCAUGGUUCAAAAGUGAAAGACGGUCUUGCUGUCACUUAUAGAUGGAUCCGCGCUGCAUUAGCUAGUUGGUAAGGUAACGGCUUACCAAGGCAACGAUGCAUAGCCGACCUGAGGGUGAUCGGCCACACUGGAACUGAGACACGGUCCAGACUCCUACGGGAGGCAGCAGUAGGGAAUCUUCCGCAAUGGGCGAAAGCCUGACGGAGCAACGCCGCGUGAGUGAUGAAGGUCUUCGGAUCGUAAAACUCUGUUAUUAGGGAAGAACAUAUGUGUAAGUAACUGUGCGCAUCUUGACGGUACCUAAUCAGAAAGCCACGGCUAACUACGUG
rnacentral:rRNA from 1 species